rnacentral:rRNA from 1 species
AGCAGCCGCGGUAAUUCCAGCUCCAAUAGCGUAUAUUAAAGUUGUUGCAGUUAAAAAGCUCGUAGUUGAAUUUCGGGGUUAGUAGGUUGGUCAUGCCUCUGGUAUGUACUGGUCUCACUGAUUCCUCCUUCCUGAUGAACCGUAAUGCCAUUAAUUUGGUGUUGCGGGGAGACUGGACUGUUACUUUGAAAAAAUUAGAGUGUUUAAAGCAGGCUAACGCUUGAAUACAUUAGCAUGGAAUAACGGAAUAGGACGUUCGAUCUUAUUUUGUUGGUUUCUAGGAUUGACGUAAUGAUUAAUAGGGAUAGUUGGGGGCAUUAGUAUUCAAUUGUCAGAGGUGAAAUUCUUGGAUUUAUUGAAGACUAACUACUGCGAAAGCAUUUGCCAAGGAUGUUUUCAUUAAUCAAGAACGAAAGUUAGGGGAUCGAAGACGAUCAGAUACCGUCGUAGUCUUAACCAUAAACUAUGCCGACUAGGGAUCGGAUGAUGUUAAUUUUUAAUGACUCAUUCGGCGCCUUAC